CAGCAGCCGCCGCGGUAAUACGUAGGUGGCAAGCGUUGUCCGGAAUUAUUGGGCGUAAAGGGCUCGCAGGCGGUUUCUUAAGUCUGAUGUGAAAGCCCCCGGCUCAACCGGGGAGGGUCAUUGGAAACUGGGAAACUUGAGUGCAGGAGAGGAGAGUGGAAUUCCACGUGUAGCGGUGAAAUGCGUAGAGAUGUGGAGGAACACCAGUGGCGAAGGCGACUCUCUGGUCUGUAACUGACGCUGAGGAGCGAAAGCGUGGGGAGCGAACAGGAUUAGAUACCCCAGUAGUCCCUGUCUCUUAUAC
rnacentral:rRNA from 1 species